rnacentral:lncRNA from 1 species
CCUCGCCGUCCUCCUCGUCCGCGUGCUCCGCCUGGUCGACCCGCCGUCCUCGCCGCCCAUGACUCGCGACCUCUAUGUCGCCUCCGUCAUCCCCAUCGGCGCGCUCUACUCCCUCUCCCUCUGGUUCUCCAACUCCGCCUACAUCUACCUCUCCGUCUCCUUCAUCCAGAUGCUCAAGGCUCUCAUGCCCGUCGCCGUCUACUCCAUCGGUGUCCUCCUCAAAAAGGAGUCGUUUAAGACCUCCUCCAUGCUCAACAUGCUCUCCAUCUCCUUGGGCGUCGCCGUCGCCGCUUACGGCGAGGCCCGCUUCGUCGCCUGGGGGGUCGCCCUCCAACUCGGCGCCGUCGCCUUCGAGGCCACCCGCCUCGUCCUCAUCCAGAUCCUCCUCACCUCCAAGGGCAUCUCCCUCAACCCCAUCACCUCCCUUUACUACGUCGCCCCCUGCUGCUUUGCCUUCCUCCUCGUCCCCUGGUUCGUCGUCGAGCUGCCCCUCCUCCGUAACAGGUCCUCCUUCCACCCGGACCUCCUCGUCUUCAUCACCAACUCCUUCUGCGCCUUCGCUCUCAACCUCGCCGUCUUCCUCCUCGUCGGAAAGACCUCCGCCCUCACCAUGAACGUCGCCGGCGUCGUCAAGGACUGGCUCCUCAUCGCCUUCUCCUGGUCCGUCAUCC